AUGCUAUGGUGUGGGCACUCCCUCUGAAGGUCCUUGUACCUUUCCCAAGCAUCAUAUAUUGAUUCAUUAUCCCUCUGUCUAAAAGUAGUGAGUCGAGUGCAGAGCUU